UGGCUCAGUUGGAAGAGCAUGGUGUUUGCAAUGCCAGGGUUGUGGGUUCGAUUCCCAC
rnacentral:tRNA from 1 species